rnacentral:tRNA from 1 species
CACCCCAUAGCUCAGUUGGUAGAAGCACAUCACUUUUAAUGAUGGGGUCGCAGGUUCAAGUCCUGCUGGGGUGA